rnacentral:rRNA from 1 species
UACGGAGGAUGCAAGCGUUAUCCGGAAUGAUUGGGCGUAAAGGGUCCGCAGGUGGCAGUGUAAGUCUGCUGUCAAAGAAUGAGGCUUAACCUUAUCAAGGCAGUGGAAACUACACAGCUAGAGUACGGUCGGGGUAGAAGGAAUUCCUGGUGUAGCGGUGAAAUGCGCAGAUAUCGGGAGGAACACCGGUGGCGAAGGCGGUUCUCUGGGCCUUACCUGACGCUGAGGAGCGAAAGCAUGGGGAGCGAACAGG